GUUUUGUUUGCUCAUAGGGCUUAAAUGAUCCAAAUCCUGCUGUAUCAGCUAUAGAGGAAAGCAAUGCUCUUGCCUUGGCUAUUGUUCCAACAGAUGGGGCUUCCACAACUGGUAACACUGCAUUUCAAGAUAAGGGGUUUGAUCCUACAGGAUGGGAACUCGCCCUUGUUACUGCAC